AGCCGGGUUCCUCCUCGCCUCCUCUCCACUUCCUGCCUUGUUUUCCUGUCCUGACGCUUUGGCGGUCGACACCUCUCCUCUGACAGGGUCCCUGGAGGCCGGCCAAUCACAGGCCUGGACCCGAGCUGUCAAACCCAAUUCUGCCAACGGCGGGCGUUGAAAGCGAGCAUCGGAGACGCUAAAGGCGAACCCCGAGUGUGUGUGAGUGUGUGUGUGUGUGAGUGUGUGUGUGUGUGUGUGUGUGUGUGUGUGUGUGUGAGUGUGUAACUCACGGUUGAGGUGGACAUCUUCUCGUCUCCGCGUCUUUUUGUGCGUCUCUGUGUGUGAGUGUGUGUGUGUGUGUGUGUGUGUGUGUGUGUGUGAGUGUGUAACUCACGCGGAGCGGCGUGUUUGGCUGGCGCCCGUCUGUUCCUAAUAGCUGUAAUUUGGAGAGGAGAGAAAGAAAAGAGGAAGAAUGGAGAAGAAGAAGAAGAAGAAGCUCACAAACACAAACAGACUCUGAUUCCCCCACCGCCAUCGCCACCGCCGCCAUAAACCGCCUUCAUUAGCAUCAGAAUAUAAGAGCUAAAUAUGUAAAGACUAAAGACUGCGAGAGAAAAGGAGGUUUAUUUAUGAUAUUAGAACGAUUCAGUUCUUACCAAGAAAACAAGCGUAGAUCCAGAAGUGUUGGAGAAUUUCUCCUGUUUUCAGAGUCUUUAAGUUUCCACUGUAAUCUUCUCUCCAACAACCUUCUCUUCUGUUUGUCUCCAAUAGUCAGGAAAUCUUCACAUGAGAAAAAUAACUGUUCAAAUCAGUUCUAGUCUCAUCCAAAGGAAUCUUGUUUUCAGAUUCAGUAAGCCUUGUUUCAAGAUCAGCCUGCUUGGAUUGAGACAGAGUUUAGUCAUUCUUCACUAAUACUGGGUAUUUUUUCUCUACAUUUCUAUUUUUGGUUGAACUAAUCUUCAGCUUCAUUUGAUCAAAGGAAGAAAAAUAAAUAUGUCAUUGAUUAGAUUUAGUCGAUUUCACUGAUUUUAGGGCUGGAAAAGUGACAUUUUAAUCAUCUGAUCUUAAACCAGCAUGUUUGUCUGACUUUAAUCUUCCUAAUACAUUUGUAGACAUGAUUAUUUCUAGACUGAACAAUCUUCAUUCAAGAAAUCUUGUUUAGUGAAAUGAUCUUGCUGCAUGGACAGAUCAUUGAUCUUGUUUUUAGACCUUUUUUACCUCAGAUUUAGAUCUUGUUUUUAGUGUUUUUAUCUUGUUUUUAUCUUGUUUUUAGUGUUUUUAUCUUGUUUUUAUCUUGUUUUUUGUGUUUUUAUCUUGUUUUAUCUUGUUUUCAGUGUAUUUAUCUUGUUUUAACUUGUUUUAAUCUUGUUUUUAUCUUGUUUUUAUCUUGUUUUUUAUGUUUUUAUCUUGUUUUAUCUUGUUUUUAGUGUUUUUUAUCUUGUUUUUUGUGUUUUUAUCUUGUUUUUAGUUUUUUUAUCUUGUUUUUAGUUUUUUAUCUUGUUUUUAGUGUUUUAUCUUGUUUUCAGUGUUUUUAUCUUGUUUUCAGUGUUUUUAUCUUGUUUUUAGUUUUUUAUCUUGUUUUUAGUGUUUUUUUAUAUUGUUUUUAUCUUGUUUUUAUGUUGUUUUUAGUCUUUUUUUUAUCUUGUUUUUAUCUUGUUUUUAGUGUUUUUUUAUCUUGUUUUCAUCUUGUUUUUGGUGUUUUUUUUAUCUUGUUUUCAGUGUAUUUAUCUUGUUUUUAGUUUUUUAUCUUGUUUUUAGUGUUUUUUUAUCUUGUUUUUAGUUUUUUAUCUUGUUUUUAGUGUUUUUUUAUCUUGUUUUUAUCUUGUUUUUAGUGUUUUUUAUCUUGUUUUCAGUGUUUUUAUCUUGUUUUUAGUUUUUUAUCUUGUUUUUAGUUUUUUAUCUUGUUUUUGGUGUUUUUUUAUCUUGUUUUCAUCUUGCUUUGACCCCCUUUCCCCUUCUGAACCUGACCCUGGUCCCGGUCCGUCUCUCACACAGUUCUGGUUCUGAACUCUCGGGUUUUUUUUAUCGUUGAUCGGUUGUUUGUCUUUGAGCGCCAGAGAAACGGCGUUCUUGAUCCUCCACGUUAAAUACCUGUUUACCCAACAAGACACGAAAAACCUGAUGACUUAUAAUCCCAGAUUUUCUGCAGCGCCGGAUUCUGCGAGCGUCUCUGUAUCUGGAUCUGAUCUCUUUGGGUAGAAUAAAUGAUUUUACGGCGAUUCUUCGGCGCUGAAUCCUGGAAUUAUCCGAGCUAAUGCUGCUUUCUAAUGCUACUGUCGUCAUGGCGAUAAUAACGUUAUCUAAUCCUGCUGCACCUCGAGCUGUUGCUGCCGUGAUCCACAUAAUUCCACUAACUAAUGCAGCCGUGGAUCCACACACACCUCCACACCUCUGCGCCUCCUCCUCCUCCUCCUCCUCCUGCUCCUGCUCCUCCUGCAGCAGGAGGAGGAGCAGGAGAAGGAAGAAGAGGAGCAGCGCCUCUCCUGACCUAAACGCCAAAAUCAAUACAGGGUCUGAGCGUGCUCCAAGGAGGAGGAGGAGGAAGAGGAAGAGGAGGAGGAGAAGGAGGAGGAGGAGGAGGAGGAGGAGAGACUAAUCUUUUCUCUCUUUUGUAAACACACGUUCAUCUACAUUAUUUUUAUUUUUUCUCUCUUUUCUUCUCGUUUAUUUAUUUCAUCUCUCGCAGUAAAAUCAUUUCUUGUUCCUUUUUGUUUUUAUUACCAUAAAAACUUUGACGUGACUCUUUCCUGACAUCCAGAGAUUCUUUGUUUUCUUGAAUUUAAGUGUUUGUGUUGAAAUUAUUUGUUUGACCAAAAGAAAAUAAAAAAAAAACUGUUUCACUGAAAUUAGGAGAAUCUGACUCGACCCUAAAACAAUCCUAACC